AGCGAACGCUAGCGGCGGGCUUAACACAUGCAAGUCGAGCGCCUUACUUCGGUAAGGAGCGGCGGACGGGUGAGUAACACGUAGGUUAUCUGCCCCGGGGGUGAGGGACAACUGAGGGAAACCUCAGCUAAUACCACAUAUGGCCUACGGGUCCAAAGGCUUCGGCCGCCCUGGGAUGAGCCUGCGUCCCAUUAUUUAAUCCUAGUUGGUGGGGUAAUGGCCUACCAAGGGUACGAUGGGUAGCUGGUUUGAGAGAAUGAGUCAGCCACACUGGAACUGAGACACGGUCCAGACUCCUACGGGAGGCAGCAGUGGGGAAUACUUGCGCAAUGGGCGAAAGCCUGACGCAGCCACGCCGCGUCGAGUGAUGAAGGCCCGAGGGUCGUAAAGCUCUGUC
rnacentral:rRNA from 1 species